CUCCCAGAGGGGACCACAUGGUGACCUUGGAAAUACAGAGCAGGUGAGGCCUGUCUGACUGUUUCUGGGCAACCCAAUCUUGGUUUCCAUGGUUGCCCUGGAAACCACA
rnacentral:pre_miRNA from 1 species